rnacentral:rRNA from 1 species
AGUUUGAUCCUGGCUCAGAUUGAACGCUGGCGGCAGGCCUAACACAUGCAAGUCGAACGGUAACAGGAAGAAGCUUGCUUCUUUGCUGACGAGUGGCGGACGGGUGAGUAAUGUCUGGGAAACUGCCUGAUGGAGGGGGAUAACUACUGGAAACGGUAGCUAAUACCGCAUAACGUCGCAAGACCAAAGAGGGGGACCUUCGGGCCUCUUGCCAUCGGAUGUGCCCAGAUGGGAUUAGCUAGUAGGUGGGGUAACGGCUCACCUAGGCGACGAUCCCUAGCUGGUCUGAGAGGAUGACCAGCC